rnacentral:rRNA from 1 species
GAUGAACGCUGGCGGCGUGCCUAAUACAUGCAAGUCGAGCGAACAGACGAGGAGCUUGCUCCUCUGACGUUAGCGGCGGACGGGUGAGUAACACGUGGAUAACCUACCUAUAAGACUGGGAUAACUUCGGGAAACCGGAGCUAAUACCGGAUAAUAUAUUGAACCGCAUGGUUCAAUAGUGAAAGACGGUUUUGCUGUCACUUAUAGAUGGAUCCGCGCCGCAUUAGCUAGUUGGUAAGGUAACGGCUUACCAAGGCAACGAUGCGUAGCCGACCUGAGAGGGUGAUCGGCCACACUGGAACUAAGAAACGGUCCAGACUCCUACGGGAGGCAGCAGUAGGGAAUCUUCCGCAAUGGGCGAAAGCCUAACGGAGCAACGCCGCGUGAGUGAUGAAGGUCUUCGGAUCGUAAAACUCUGUUAUUAGGGAAGAACAAAUGUGUAAGUAGCUAUGCACGUCUUGACGGUACCUAAUCAGAAAGCCACGGCUAACUACGUG